AUUGAACGCUGGCGGCAGGCCUAACACAUGCAAGUCGAGCGAGCGGCGGACGGGUGAGUAAUGUCCGGGAAACUGCCUGAUGGAGGGGGAUAACUACUGGAAACGGUAGCUAAUACCGCAUACCAUCAGAUGUGCCCAGGUGGGAUUAGCUAGUAGGUGGGGUAACGGCUCACCUAGGCGACGAUCCUUAGCUGGUCUGAGAGGAUGACCGGCAGCCCGGGAGCGAAGAGACGGUCCAAACUCCUACGGGAGGCAGGGGUGGGGAAUAUAGCACAAUGGGCACAAGCCAGAUGCAGCCAUGCCGCGUGUGUGAGGAAGGCCUUCGGGUUGUGAAGCACUUUCAGCGGGGAGGCGUUACCCACAGAAGAAGCACCGGCUAACUCCGUGCCAGCAGCCGCGGUAAUAC
rnacentral:rRNA from 1 species